rnacentral:rRNA from 1 species
UGCGGGGGGGGCAAGCGUUGUUCGGAAUUACUGGGCGUAAAGGGUUCGUAGGUGGCCGACUAAGUCAAACGUGAAAUCCCUCAGCUUAACUGGGGAACUGCGUCUGAUACUGGUCGGCUCGAGUGCAGGAGAGGAACGCGGAAUUCCAGGUGUAGCGGUGAAAUGCGUAGAUAUCUGGAGGAACACCGGUGGCGAAGGCGGCGUUCUGGACUGCAACUGACACUGAGGAACGAAAGCAUGGGGAGCGAACAGG